GAUGAACGCUGGCGGCGUGCCUAAUACAUGCAAGUCGAGCGAACAGACGAGGAGCUUGCUCCUUUGACGUUAGCGGCGGACGGGUGAGUAACACGUAGGUAACCUACCUAUAAGACUGGGAUAACUUCGGGAAACCGGAGCUAAUACCGGAUAAUAUUUCGAACCGCAUGGUUCGAUAGUGAAAGAUGGCUUUGCUAUCACUUAUAGAUGGACCUGCGCCGUAUUAGCUAGUUGGUAAGGUAACGGCUUACCAAGGCAACGAUACGUAGCCGACCUGAGAGGGUGAUCGGCCACACUGGAGCUGAGACACGGUCAAGACGCCUACGGGAGGCAGCAGAAGGGAAUCUUACGCAAUGGGCGAAAGCCUGACGGAGCAACGCCGCGUGAGUGAUGAAGGUCUUCGGAGCGUAAAACUCUGUUAUUAGGGAAGAACAAACGUGUAAGUAACUGUGCACGUCUUGACGGUACCUAAUCAGAAAGCCACGGCUAACUACGUG
rnacentral:rRNA from 1 species